GACGAACGCUGGCGGCGUGCUUAACACAUGCAAGUCGAACGGAAAGGCCCUGCUCUUGUGGGGUGCUCGAGUGGCGAACGGGUGAGUAACACGUGAGUAACCUGCCCUUGACUUUGGGAUAACUUCAGGAAACUGGGGCUAAUACCGGAUAGGAGCUCCUGCUGCAUGGUGGGGGUUGGAAAGUUUCGGCGGUUGGGGAUGGACUCGCGGCUUAUCAGCUUGUUGGUGGGGUAGUGGCUUACCAGGGCUUUGACGGGUAGCCGGCCUGAGAGGGUGACCGGCCACAAUGGGACUGAGAUACGGCCCAGACUCCUACGGGAGGCAGCAGUGGGGAAUAUUGCACAAUGGGCGGAAGCCUGAUGCAGCAACGCCGCGUGCGGGAUGACGGCCUUCGGGUUGUAAACCGCUUUCGCCUGUGACGAAGCGUGAGUGACGGUAAUGGGUAAAGAAGCACCGGCUAACUACGUG
rnacentral:rRNA from 1 species